ACUGCUCAGUAACACGUGGACAACCUGCCCUUUAGGUUGGGUAUAAACCCGGGAAACUGGGUAUAAUACCCGAUAGGUCUCGAUUGCUGGAAUGCAUCGAGAUUUAAAGCUCCGGCGCCUAAGGAUGGGUCUGCGGCCUAUCAGGUAGUAGUGGGUGUAGCGUACCUACUAGCCUACGACGGGUACGGGUUGUGAGAGCAAGAGCCCGGAGAUGGAUUCUGAGACACGAAUCCAGGCCCUACGGGGUGCAGCAGGCGCGAAAACUUUACAAUGCUGGCAACAGCGAUAAGGGAACCUCGAGUGCCAGGUUACAAAUCUGGCUGUCGAGAUGCCUAAAAAGCAUUUCAUAGCAAGGGCCGGGCAAGACCGGUGCCAGCCGCCGCGGUAACACCGGCGGCUCGAGUGGUAACCGUUAUUAUUGGGUCUAAAGGGUCUGUAGCCGGCCGGAUAAGUCUCUUGAGAAAUCGGGCAGCUUAACUGUCAGGCUUUCAGGAGAUACUGUCUGGCUCGAGGCCGGGAGAGGUGAGAGGUACUUCAGGGGUAGGGGUGAAAUCUUGUAAUCCUUGAAGGACCACCAGUGGCGAAGGCGUCUCACCAGAACGGACCUGACGGCAAGGGACGAAAGCUAGGGGCACGAACCGGAUUAGAUACCCGGGUAGUCCUAGCCGUAAACGAUACUCGCUAGGUGUCGGCCACGGUGCGACCGUUGUCGGUGCCGUAGGGAAGCCGUGAAGCGAGCCACCUGGGAAGUACGGCCGCAAGGCUGAAACUUAAAGGAAUUGGCGGGGGAGCAC
rnacentral:rRNA from 1 species